GUAUGCCUACGGGGCGCAGCAGUGAGGAAUAUUGGUCAAUGGGAGAGAUCCUGAACCAGCCACGCCGCGUGAGGGAAGACGGCCCUAUGGGUUGUAAACCUCUUUUGUCGGAGAACAAAACCCGGGACGUGUCCCGGAUUGCGUGUAUCCGAAGAAAAAGCAUCGGCUAACUCCGUGCCAGCAGCCGCGGUAAUACGUAGGUGGCAAGCGUUCUCCGGUUUUAUUGGGCGUAAAGGGGACGCAGGCGGUCUUUUACGUCUGUUGUGAAA
rnacentral:rRNA from 1 species